GACGAACGCUGGCGGCGUGCUUAACACAUGCAAGUCGAACGGCAAGGCACUGCUUUUGUGGGGUUCUCGAGUGGCGAACGGGUGAGUAACACGUGAGUAACCUACCCUUGACUUUGGGAUAACUUCAGGAAACUGGGGCUAAUACCGGAUAGGAGCUCCUGCUGCAUGGUGGGGGUUGGAAAGUUUCGGCGGUUGGGGAUGGACUCGCGGCUUAUGAGCUUGUUGGUGGGGUAGUGGCUUACCAAGGCUUUGACGGGUAGGCGGCCUGUGAGGGUGGCCGGGGACAUGGGGACUGAGAUACGGCGCAGACGCCAACAGGAGACAGCGGGGGGAAAUAUGACACAGUGGGCGGAAGCGUGAGACAGCGACGCCGCGUGCGGGAUGACGUCCUGCUGGUUGUAAACCGCUGUCGCCUGUGACGAAGCGGGAGUGACGGUAAUGGAUGAAGAAGCACCGGCUAACUACGUG
rnacentral:rRNA from 1 species